GAUUUCUAUUCCAUCUCUAGCCCCGAAUCCUAAAGCCAUUUUCCCUUAAUGCCCUGAAACUGAACUGCGCUCUUGUCAGCUUAGUUGUUUAGUUUUGACAAAAGUGUCCAAAACCCCACCCAUUUCCCCUUCCUCCCUCUCUCUGUGGAUCUCUUAUUCUAUCUUUGAAUAUCAACAUGAAAAUCCGUAUACUCUGUUCUUAUGGCUAUAUACUGUACCCUGAGGGUUGAAUGUAUAUUUUAGCAGCAAUCUACCUUAGUACUGGUCUCCUUCAUCUCAGAAACAUGAAGUCAUGCUGGAUUUUUAAAUCGAGAUGUGCUUGUCUAUUCUAUCCCGAGAUAAAUGUUUUAUUUUUUAAUAAUCAAUUAUAAAAGACCAGACAUGUUUAAAUGAUAGAUAACUAAGUAACGCUUCUUCUUCUAAUGUAAAUUUGAAUGUCUAUAUUGCUGAGAGCUAUAUAAAUUAAAGAAGGAGAUGUUAUAACUUGUGCAAAAGGCUAUAAUGGAGGGAAUGAAGUGAGCCAUUCUAAAGCUAUGGGUAAAAGAAGGGCCUUAAAUGAAGCAGGUGAUAAACAGUAAAUAUACAAAACAGUAUAUGUAUUUUUAACAUUUUACGUGAUCAUAUGGAAGAAAUUAGAUGUUUUUGUCACUGUCCUGGAAAUUGUCUCACCUUAGGUUGUUUCUGCAGCAGACACCUUUCAUCAUAAACAUAUUGUUAAACAUAUAGCCCGUUAACUCUGUUUCUACAAGUGUAUAUUGUGCUGCUCAGUGUGUGUCUCGGUAGAAUAUUUUAUUUGCGACCAAAGACGCUAUCCUUAUCUAGUUGGUAUAUUUAUCAGCUUAUAAAAAAAUCAAUCCUGAAGUAGAAAAAAAUAACAUAACAUAACAUUUGUUUUCCAAAGUGACUCAGUCACGUGUCCUGAUGUUGCAGGAAUUAAUGUUUAGUUUGUGUGUCUGUGAUGUUGUGGCAUUCUCAAAACCAUCGGCAGCGAGACUCCUUGUGUUGCGACCGCAAUGAAGUCAUGCAGUAGAUAGCUGUUACCUCGUUGAUCAGUCCAUGCCUUAACGGAAAAAAAAAAGUCUGUCUAUUUUGAGGAGAACACGUAGUUGCAUAACUGUGGGCAAGUUGUGACAAAAGAUCUGGAUCUCCAAUAAUCUCACUAUGAUCUACUACUUUCCUGCUUUCCCCUUUUCAUCAAUUAUAAUGAUGUUCAAUCACAUAAUGCAGGAUCAGUAUGUGCCAUAAAUUACACCAAUGCACUGUGAGUAUUUUCUUAUUGGCUGCUUAUCUAUACUAUAUGUCAGUGCUGUAUUAAACACUAGUAUUGUACUCAUUUGGGUACAGACAGAUUGAAACAAUGCAACUCCUAUGGGGGUUGUCUUAAUUGAGUUAAUUCAGCAAAUUUUUAAAUUGUAUUAUUAAUAAAAGUAGCCCACACAUUCCUGAAACGUCUAAUUUAAGGGCGAUUUUAACCAAAUGUUUAAAUUGACGACAUAUGAAAUGCAGUAAGUAAAUGUUUCUUGUCCUGUCCUCUGUAUCCAUGUCAAGCUAAGAAAUUAUCUAAUUUUUUUACAAUGCAAAACAUAUCUAGGCCUAUCUAAAAUCCAUAAAACGCACAUUAAACCACACAUUUCAAGGUCUAAAAGUCUUUAAUAAGUCAGUACGAAUAAGUCUUUAGUCAGGGCAAUUGAACUGUUUCAUUUAAAUGUAAUGUGUUUGUCAAAGUAUGUCAUCUUUGUGCAAAGUAAGAAUAAAACUACAGUAUAUCAGAAUAUUUCUGGAUUUGAAUAUCUAAAUAAAUUGAUAUUGUUUACAAGGUU